AUUGAACGCUAGCGGCAGGCCUAACACAUGCAAGUCGAACGAGAGGCGGGCGGGAGAGUAAUGUAUGGGGCUCUGACCGAUGGAGGGGGAUAACUACUGGAAACGAUGGCUAAUACCGCAUACUACCGCAUGAACCCAUAUGGGAUUAGCUAGUAGGUGGGGUAAAGGCUCACCUAGGCGACGAUCUCUAGCUGGUUUGAGAGGAUGAACAGCCACACUGGGACUGAGACACGGCCCAGACUCCUACGGGAGGCAGCAGUGGGGAAUAUUGCACAAUGGGCGAAAGCCUGAUGCAGCCAUGCCGCGUGUGUGAAGAAGGCCUUAGGGUUGUAAAGUACUUUCAGCAGGGAGGCGUUACCCGCAGAAGAAGCACCGGCUAACUCCGUGCCAGCAGCCGCGGUAAUAC
rnacentral:rRNA from 1 species